rnacentral:tRNA from 1 species
AUUAUUUUGGCAGAAAAGUGCGAUAGAUUUAGAAUCUUUAUAUGUAGAUAUUUACAAAUAAUA